GACGAACGCUGGCGGCGUGCCUAAUACAUGCAAGUCGAGCGGACUUGACAGAGCUUGCUCUGUUCAAGUUAGCGGCGGACGGGUGAGUAACACGUGGGCAACCUGCCCUGCAGAGUGGGAUAACUCCGGGAAACCGGGGCUAAUACCGAAUAACAUUGAAAACCUCAUGGUUUUCUUUUAAAAGGCGGCUUCGGCUGUCACUGCAGGAUGGGCCCGCGGCGCAUUAGCUAGUUGGUGAGGUAACGGCUCACCAAGGCGACGAUGCGUAGCCGACCUGGGAGGGUGAUCGGCCACACUGGGACUGAGACACGGCCCAGACUCCUACGGGAGGCAGCAGUAGGGAAUCUUCCGCAAUGGACGAAAGUCUGACGGAGCAACGCCGCGUGAGUGAAGAAGGUUUUCGGAUCGUAAAACUCUGUUGUUAGGGAAGAACAAGUAUCGGAGUAACUGCCGGUACCUUGACGGUACCUGACCAGAAAGCCACGGCUAACUACGUGCCAGCAGCCGCGGUAAGAC
rnacentral:rRNA from 1 species